rnacentral:piRNA from 1 species
UCCCAAGUCUUGUGAUUACAGAUGUGUCACU